AUCGGUCUUUGAAACGCCCCCUUAAGACUCUCGGUUCUUGGGACACUCAUUACUAGAACUGAUUAAACAAAGAAGAAGAAGUAAAGCUGAGUUUGAUAUUAUUUGAAUAUCAUCAGAACCAGUAGAUUUAGAGCUACAAAGAUCCAUAAAACUUAUUCUUGGAUCCUAAAAAGAAAUAAUAAGCAUGAGAGUAAAUUUAUUAAAUUUUUGAACAGAAAUAAAGACAUGUUUAGGGUGAUGGGAAAAGCAUGAGUAUCAAGUAUUUAUAAUUAGCAUAUCGCAUAAUACCUUCCUAAAAAAUGAACUUGUUAAUAGGACGUGCUGAGCGUAUAUAUAUAUAUAUAUACUUGUCGCUAAACCUCAUCUAAAGUAUCUAUGAUUAUUUUUUAUAUUUUAAAUCUACUUACUUUUCCUCUUUUAUAUAAAAUUUAGCUACUGCCAAGGUAGUGGAUAAUAAAGGAGUGGUGCUUAGCGUCUGCAUUCUGAUUGGCUGAGCUGAUUGACGUCACAAAUGUUGUAUUCACUCAGAAAUGAAAACAAUAAUAUUCAUAUAGCAACGUGAGUUGAUAAUUUAUCAGGGUGGUGGAUGAUAUCAUAUCUCUCUUCAAAGUAAUGGCCUGUUCAAGGGAUAUCGACUCUUAAGGCGAGAUCCAAUGAACAAGGGUUUCACUCCCUAGAUCUCAUCUACUUUAAUGGAAAGAUCGUUCAUUGUGCAGGUACGUCUUCAAAUGAAGAUAACUUGUGAUUAGUCACUUCUGAUCCCGUUAAUAAUUGUUCCUAUACUUAAAUUCCUUCAUAUCUUCCACUGAAUCAUCGUAUACUUCUACAUAUCAGAGCAAAGGUGUUCCAUAAAACGACAGAAUAAUCGACUGAGAUACCCAGUGAAGAGCAGAGAGAAUUCUCCACCUAGAGCUCGUUCUUGGAAAUUAUUGAAAGUCAACUGUGUUUCGUCUUCUACUCUAAUAAAACUAUUCAAUGAAUAAGAGUCCUUCAAUUUCCUGGAUGUAUAUAACACAGAAAUCACUCAUCUCUAUCACAUUUAUAGCAAUUCCAUUUAUAGGUUCGUGAUAUAGGGUAUAUACGGAUAAUUAUAUAAGCUGGACACUUUUAAGCCCACGCCUGAUUACUUUAUUAGUACUGAGUCACUUGUCAUUGGAACAUGAUUCUAGACUAACUUAUGUUAAAAUAUCUUAAUUUCAUUGAAAUUCCCAAACCUAUUGAGUUGGGAAUCCUUCUCCAAACAGUCAAAUUGCUUGUCACCAUAUUAGAAUAUUACUCUUCCAAAGAUCUAGGAUCUCGACACAAAUGAAUAAAUUAUUAAAUGUUUUCCAUACGAUAAUUAUAAGUAAUUUUACUGAAAACAAUGGUUCAAAUGUAACAAGUGUUGAUACGAUUGUUUUAGUAUUGAUUGAAAAAAUAAUAAAGUAUCAAUGAUAUUCUUCAAAAUUUA
rnacentral:lncRNA from 1 species